CUCAGAGGAGGAACGAUGAGUCAAAAGUUGGGGUCGUUAACUGCCACAACUACAAAGUGCAUUUCCUUCCACUUAAGGAGAUAAGUUCAACAACCAUAAAUGGAAAAUUAAUAGUCUUUAUUAUAAUUUUCAUGUUUCUGGUAUGGGAUUUGAAUAGCCAAUGCCCAUGGCUGGUCCUAGUAUUUUUGAAGCCUAAACGAAACUGGUAGAUAUGUGAUCUUCACAAAAAAAAAUAUACAAGUUAUAUAUGGUUCCUCUCUCUUGACCUAGCCGCCGAAGGAAAAAAAAAAAUUCAGAUGGAGGCUGGAUUUUGGUGGCUUCCUCAGCACCAGAUCCGGCCUCUCCCUCUUUAGCUCUAUUCUUGUCUUAGUUUUUGUUCUCCUCGUUGUUAAAGCGUGGAUUGGAGGUGUUAUCUUGCCAAUUUUGGUUGGGUUUUGGAACUAGCUGGUGGGUUGUGGUGGUUGGGCUCGUCUGUUGAUGGAGCCUUACCCACUAGUUGCUGCUCCUUGGUUUCCCUUUGGUGGCUAAUUGGUUUAUGGUGAUUUCGCUCCCUUACUCGUUGUGGUUAUGUAACUCGGGUUUCUGAAAUAAAUCCUUCUCUUAGCAGUGGUGUUUCAUCAAGGAAGUUGCUAUUGAGGAGAUUGUUUUGGAUAGUGUUGGGUGCAGAGUUUGUAUCCUUCGAUUGGAGUGUUGAUUAUGUGCGUUAGAGAUAGCGGAUGGAGCGGCCAGUUCAUUUGGUUUUGUGAUUCCAGUGCUUCCAAGUCUGUGUGAGUUAUCUUCUUCUUGCUGUUGUUCGUUGUGGGUGAUAGCUCUCAUGUUUUUUCAUCGUUCGCUUUGAGAUUGGUGAUUCUUGAGUUACAGGCCUCGCUCCUUGUCCCUGCGUUCGAGAUCUAUUGAGGUCUGAUCGCGUUUGGAAGGCUUCUAGUAUGACGUUCUUUGCGUAUCAAUGUGUUCGUCGCUUCCGAAAGCUAGGUGCUUAUCGGGUUUUGAAGUCCUUUGUUUCGAGAGAUUGGCUCUCAUCGUGAUAGGAGGUGGUAGAUGUUAUCUUCGGUUUGGCCAUGGGCAUCCUCGGUAAAUCUCUCUCACUUGUGUCUAACAAGAAGAAGUGCUUUGUGUUCUUGAUUCUAUUGUUUAGCUUAAGGCUUUAUGGCCGGUUUCUUCUGUUCUAAGUUUAUGGAUUAGUAUUCUUUCGAUUUAGGUUCCAAAUUUUCUGUUUUGUAUCUCUUUUAGACUCCCUUCCAUAGGGCUUAAUGACUAUGGGGACAUCUUCAUCGUCUGCCGGCUUAUGUUUCCCUCU